rnacentral:rRNA from 1 species
CCUACGGGUGGCUGCAGUAAGGAAUAUUGGUCAAUGGACGCAAGUCUGAACCAGCCAUGCCGCGUGGAGGAUGAAGGUCCUCUGGAUUGUAAACUUCUUUUAUUUGGGAAGAAACUCCCGAUUUCCAUCGGGAUUGACGGUACCAGAUGAAUAAGCACCGGCUAACUCCGUGCCAGCAGCCGCGGUAAUACGGAGGGUGCCGGCGUUAUCGGGAUUAAAGGGGUCGAAGGUGGGCAGGUAAGUCAGGGGAGAAAUCUCCGGGCUUAACCCGGAAACUGCCAUUGAUACUAUUUGUCUUGAAUACUCUGGAGGUGAGCGGAAUAUGUCAUGUAGCGGUGAAAUGCUUAGAUAUGGCAUAGAACACCCAUUGCGAAGGCAGCUCACUACGGAAAUAUUGACGCUGAGGCACGAAAGCGUGGGGAUCAAAUAGGAUUAGAUACCCUAGUAGUC